rnacentral:rRNA from 1 species
UACGAAGGGGGCUAGCGUUGUUCGGAAUUACUGGGCGUAAAGGGCGCGUAGGCGGCUUCGCUAGUCGGGCGUGAAAUGCCUGGGCUUAACCCGGGAAUUGCGCUCGAUACUUCGAGGCUAGAGUGUGGGAGAGGUUGGUGGAAUUCCCAGUGUAGAGGUGAAAUUCGUAGAUAUUGGGAAGAACACCGGUGGCGAAGGCGGCCAACUGGACCACAACUGACGCUGAGGCGCGAAAGCGUGGGGAGCAAACAGG